rnacentral:lncRNA from 1 species
GUGCUCCACGGGAUCACCCCAUCAUUUUGUUUGAAAUGAUAUGCACACACCUCCAAUUCAUUGCACCGGUAUCUCGUCGAGCUAUCAGUACCGGAACGUGUUGUGACUGUCAUUGCAUGCGUGAUGCAUCCUUGGCAUACAAUCUUGUGUUGCUCGUAUCUUUUAGUUCGUAACUCCGUUGGAAUUGGUCCAUAUAUGUAAAUGGACUAGUAUGACGUGUAGUUUCACGUGCUCCACUUUGUUUUGCUGUUUAACAAACUUAAAAUGUGAUUAGGACAAAUCUGGACAGGACCAAGAUAUAACACGUGGGGUCAUUUCGAAGGUGCUAUAUGUCAUUUCCGACCUCAUUUAAAAUGCCUAGAUAGGUAGAUUACUUGCGAUUCACCUCUUGCCAUGUUUAACAACAUUUAAUAUUGCCGUGUAUCUAAUCGAGAUAGAACUAAAUAAAUAAACGUGGAGUUUCGUCAAUAUGCAACUCGUUGCAUAUUGAGCUUCACUUAAUGUGUAGUGUUUGAUUGUUGUGUUUGCCAUGCCUUGCAUUAGACCGUUCAUGCAUAAUAUGUGUCUUGCAUCGUGUGGUGAAUUUCGUGUGUUGAUUUGUGUUUCCGGUUUGCUUCGUCUCGAUAGAGUUCCGCAACGUGCCGGAUUGUGAGGACCCGUUCGACUACGUCGGUUCGUCUGCUUCACGGAGGCAUUCUUCUUCCAAGCAGGAUCUCAGGCAAGAUGAUCAUUUCCCUAGAUACCAUUACUAUCAUUGCCAUGCUACUUUUAUCGCUUCUAUCGAUUAUGUCUCGUUUCCUACCACCUGUUAAAUAUUAGCCUCUCAACAAUGCCACGAUUACAUUCAACCUGUUCAACCUAGCAAACCACUGAUUGGCUAUGUUACUGCUUGCUUAACCCUGUUGAUAGCGUUGCUAGUUGCAGGUGCAGAUGCUUCCAUGCAAAAGCAUGGGUUCCUUGUUAUAUCACCAUAUUAAAUGCUAUUUAAUUUAAUGCACCUAUAUACUUGGUAAAAGGUGGAAGGCUCGGUCUUUCUAGCCUGGUGUUUUGUUCCACCUUUGCCCCCUUUAGUUACGGGAUACCGGUGUUAUGUUCCAUAAAUGAGCGCUCCUAACACGAUCGGGGAUGUUAUGGGGACCCCCUUGAUAAUUCGUUUUAGAUUAAAGCUGGUCUGGCAAGGCCCAACUUUGGUACUACAUUUGCCUAAACACCUAAUAAAAUUGCAUUGGGACUUUCCGGACCCCGAGGAUAAUUUAAUCAACCCCGGGCUAGUGCUCCUCAUGAGUGUUGGCCCCACCUGAGCGAUGUCCGGCGCCCCUCUGGUCACCCGGAGGUUUAGCGAUCCCGACGUCUAGCUCAUCCGCCGUGUCCUGAGAACGAGGUACGCGACUCCUAUCGGGAUCGUCGACACGUCGGGCGGCCUUCCUGGAUUAGUUUUACCUUUGACGAGAUAUCUUGUGCAUCGGGAUUCCGGUGAUGCUUUGGGUAAUCUCAGAGUUGAGGUUUUCCAUUAGGGAAUCCGACGAGAUCGCGAGCUUCGUGAUUGAGGAUUUCUAUGCGGCUUGUGGUAAUUUGUGAUGGACUAGUUGGAGCACCCCUGCAGGGUUAAAUCUUUCGGAAAGCCGUGCCCGCAGAUAUGUGGCAACGUGGAAGCUUUGUUUAACACUGGUUCUAGAUAACUUGAAGUUAACUUAAUUAAAACAUGCCAACUGUGUGCGUAACCGUGACUGUCUCCUUCGUGAGUUCCUUCUCCGAUCGAGGACACGGUGGGGUUAUGUCUGACGUAGGUAGGUGUUCAGGAUCAUUCUUUUGAUCAUCUGUAGUGACGUCCGUUAUGCGUAGAUCUCCCCCCUCUUAUUUCUUGUACUCGUAAGUUAGCCACCAAACAUAUGCUUAGUCGCUGCUGCAACCUCACCAUUUAACCAUGCCUCACCCAUUAAGCUUUGCUAGUCUUGAUACCUUUGGAAAUGAGAUUGCUGAGUCCCCUGUGGCUCACAGAUUACUACAACACCAGUUGCAGGUACAGGUAAAGGUUACGUGACGCGAGCGCGUUGAUUGUUCAUUUGGAGUUGCUUCUUCUUCUUCUUCAUCGAUCUAGGAUGGGUUCCAGGCCGGCAGCCUGGGAUAGCAAGGAUGGACG